AGUGAACGCUGGCGGUAGGCCUAACACAUGCAAGUCGAACGGCAGCACAGUAAGAGCUUGCUCUUACGGGAGGCGAGUGGCGGACGGGUGAGGAAUACAUCGGAAUCUACUUUUUCGUGGGGGAUAACGUAGGGAAACUUACGCUAAUACCGCAUACGACCUACGGGUGAAAGCAGGGGAUCUUCGGACCUUGCGCGAUCGAAUGAGCCGAUGUCGGAUUAGCUAGUUGGCGGGGUAAAGGCCCACCAACGCGACGAUCCGUAGCUGGUCUGAGAGGAUGAUCCGCCACACUGGCACUGAGACACGGUCCAGACUCCUACGGGAGGCAGCAGUGGGGACUAUUGGACAAUGGGCGCAAGCCUGAUCCAGCCAUACCGCGUGGGUGAAGAAGGCCUUCGGGUUGUAAAGCCCUUUUGUUGGGAAAGAAAAGCAGCAGGUUAAUACCCCGCUGUUCUGACGGUACCCAGAGAAUAAGCUCCGGCUAACUUCGUG
rnacentral:rRNA from 1 species